ACCACUCUUUCCUACUACAAGAACCUGCAAAGUGUGCCUCCUUCUAUUGCCAUUGAAACAAUCUCUGAUGGAUUUGACAAUGAUUUUGAUGGGAGAAAUUGCUUUGCAAAGAACAAAAGAUUUGGCAUUGUCGUGUCUGCCACCUAAAACCGUUGAGAUUUGUUAUGUUGAGCUUUCUAUGGAAGAACGGCAGCUGUAUGAGAGGGAGAAAGAAAAAAUAAAGGCAUUGUUGAGAAGAAAAUAUACCCUCAGCUAGCAGCAGCAGUCAGAUGUUCGGAGGUUCCAAAAAAUCGAUGGCGCAGUUCUUAUUGGCAAGGUUGCUGUUCAUGAGGCUGAAAAUGGCGUCGACGGUGAUGAUGUUCUUCAUUGUCUUGGUGGCUAGAGCGGCGGUGGAGUCAGAGACGGUGAAGGCGGCCUCAGAUUCGUUGAUGAGGGUAAAGGCGGCCUGGGAUUCGUUGAUGAGUCUGCAGGGACAACGGGAAAGUCUUGGUUGGGUGAAAAUGGAAGGUGAAAAAUGGAAAAAAGACGGAGAGAGAGAAAAGGUGAGAAAAAAAAUGGUGUUAGAUUUUUGUUAGUCAUGUGAACUAUUUUUAAGUAUUACUUUUAUAGGAUUAAAAUCAAU